AGGUUAUCGAAAGAGCAAUUGAUGUUGUUCUUACAGAAGGAAGAGGAAUAACUGAGGUUGGAGAAAUGUUUCAGAUUCCCAGAAGAAGUCUUGCUAGAUACGUAGACAAGAAUAAGAAUGUGCUACCCUGUAAACAAAAAUAUGGUUAUUCAAAGAUUCGUCAGGUUUUCACAGAUGAGGAGGAGGCUAUACUAGUGAAAUAUUUGCAUCGAGCAGCAGAUAUUUAUUUUGGAUUGUCACCACUGGACGUUAGGAAACUAGCAUUUCAAUUGGCCACCAAAAUGAACAUCAAAAUUCCCUUGUCGUGGACUACAAAAUGCUUAGCUGGCCCAGUGGCCCUGACUGGUUUAGCUCAUUUCUUAAGAGACAUAAUACCACAGACAACGAAGUGGAAGACUGCGAUCGCCUAUACUGGCCAAAGGGCGAUGCUCGUGACUGCCACCAGGUUCGCGUCGUAUGUUCUAGGCCCGUUUCUUAAAGAAUUUUAUUAUGUCCCUACUGAUCAGAUGCUUUACACACCCGGGGUUUGUGAGGAAACUAUUGCAUCAAAUUUUUUUAUUUUUAUUUCUUAAUCACCUGUAGCCCUUUGUAAAAUCCCUUGAAUUAUUUUAUAAUUUAUGUAUAACUUAGCGGUUAGGAAAUAAAUUAAUGUU